rnacentral:tRNA from 1 species
GCAGGGAUAGCCAAGUGGACAGAUUAAUUUUACUGCCCCACACUACGGCGCUGGCCUUGAGAGCCAGUAUCCCUUUGGGAUGCGGGGGUUCGAAUCCCCCUCCCUGCGCCA